AACGAACGCUGGCGGCAUGCCUAACACAUGCAAGUCGAACGAUGCUUUCGGGCAUAGUGGCGCACGGGUGCGUAACGCGUGGGAAUCUGCCCUUGGGUUCGGAAUAACAGUGAGAAAUUGCUGCUAAUACCGGAUGAUGUCUUCGGACCAAAGAUUUAUCGCCCAGGGAUGAGCCCGCGUAGGAUUAGCUAGUUGGUGGGGUAAUGGCCUACCAAGGCGACGAUCCUUAGCUGGUCUGAGAGGAUGAUCAGCCACACUGGGACUGAGACACGGCCCAGACUCCUACGGGAGGCAGCAGUGGGGAAUAUUGGACAAUGGGCGCAAGCCUGAUCCAGCAAUGCCGCGUGAGUGAUGAAGGCCGUAGGGUUGUAAAGCUCUUUUACCCGGGAUGAUAAUGACAGUACCGGGAGAAUAAGCUCCGGCUAACUCCGUG
rnacentral:rRNA from 1 species